rnacentral:miRNA from 1 species
UCUCUCUGUUCUUUAUCAAUG